AGCGGAUUCAAUUCAUGAAGGGUGGAAGUUGAGGAGAACACUAUUGGUCACCUUUUUUUCUUAAAAAAAUGUUUACAAUUGUUUGCUUAGCUAUUGGGGGAUGUCAAACUCGCUUGAUGAAUUUAAAGGAUUAAAGGAGUUUUUUUUUAGGGAAUGAUUAAAGGAGUUAAGAAGUUAAAAUUUUUAUAUGUAUCUAUGUCUAUAUCUAUAUUUAUUAUAAAGAGGAAUCCAUUUCUAUGAACCUUUUCGAAAUCAUUACGAAUCUUUUCGAAAACAUUUACAAAUGUUAUUCUUUUUUUUUGUCAAAGUAACUUAGUGGCUGAAGUUCACACAUUUUAAAUGUGGAUAAGUGAAGCAUCCGGGAUUUAAAUCCCCGACCCCUACAUAUAUUAUGCAAUGUUUCUGCCAAUUGAGCUAAGCUUGCGUGAAGUUACAAAUGUUAUUAUAUUAGCUAUUUCAUAUUAAUACAACAACCACGUGUUAUUGUAUAAAAAACGUACAAUCUUGAUAUAAUAAAUAAAUGAUUGCUAAUUUUUUUCUAAACAAGCCAAUAUUACUAACCACACAAGUGAUUCCUCUAGCACAAGGCAUGCAAAAGAGAACCACUAAAAAAUUAUUACAAAGUUAAGUCACUUGCGCCUCAAAAGAGCGCACGAUGAAAAAAAAAACAAAAUAGACCGAAGAUUACAACAUGACACCUAUACAAGAUAAAGGGUGCGCCACCACCGGUCGUGGUAGUCGAAAUCAAAAGUAACCAUAUUAGCCUUUAAUCAAAGUAAAGAAAGCAGCUUAACUUUGUCUGAAAUAGAAUGUGAGUCUUGUGCCUUCUAAUUAAACACCUGAUUGUUCCUUUCCUUCCAAAUAACCCAGACACAAGCUAGUCAGAUUAUUUUGAAGAAAUAAUGUGUUGAUCUCGAGAACCCAUCCAGGAGACUGAACUGAAGAAGAUGAUCGUGAACUGCAGUUGGGCGAUGAAGGAGAUACGCAACCAUUGAAGGACCAAGGACCACACGCUGGCAAAGAAUGUGCAACCUAGGUUUUUGUAAGAAGGAAACUUUUUAUGAAAGUGAAGGAAGUUUUUUUAUUUAGAUGAGAAAAAAAUGUUUAUUUAGGAGUAUUAUAACCGAAAGAAAAUGUGCAAUUGAAACGCGUGAUCAAUUAAA
rnacentral:lncRNA from 1 species